rnacentral:rRNA from 1 species
CAGAGGUCCCAAGCGUUGUUCGGAUUCACUGGGCGUAAAGGGUGCGUAGGUGGUCAGGUAAGUCGGAUGUGAAAUCUCCGAGCUCAACUCGGAAACUGCAUUGGAAACUACCUGGCUCGAGGGUUGGAGGGGGGACUGGAAUGCUUGGUGUAGCAGUGAAAUGCGUAGAUAUCAAGCGGAACACCAGUGGCGAAGGCGAGUCCCUGGACAACUCCUGACACUGAUGCACGAAAGCUAGGGGAGCAAACAGGAUUAGAUACCCUGGUAGUCCUAGCCGUAAACGGUGCACGUUUGCUGUAAAAGGAAUCGACCCCUUUUGUGGCGUAGCCAACGCGCUAAACGUGCCGCCUGGGAAGUACGGUCGCAAGAUUA